UACGUAGGGCGCAAGCGUUAUCCGGAAUUAUUGGGCGUAAAGAGCUCGUAGGCGGUUUGUCGCGUCUGCCGUGAAAGUCCGGGCUCAACUCCGGAUCUGCGGUGGGUACGGGCAGACUAGAGUGAUGUAGGGGAGACUGGAAUUCCUGGAUGUAGCGGUGAAAUGCGUAGAGAUCGGGAGGAACACCAGAGGCGAAGGCGGCAAGCUGGAUGGGCACUGACACUCGAACUGACGAAAGCCGUGGGGAGCAAACAGG
rnacentral:rRNA from 1 species